UGAACGCUGGCGGCGUGCCUAAUACAUGCAAGUCGAGCGAACGGACGAGAAGCUUGCUUCUCUGAUGUUAGCGGCGGACGGGUGAGUAACACGUGGAUAACCUACCUAUAAGACUGGGAUAACUUCGGGAAACCGGAGCUAAUACCGGAUAAUAUUUUGAACCGCAUGGUUCAAAAGUGAAAGACGGUCUUGCUGUCACUUAUAGAUGGAUCCGCGCUGCAUUAGCUAGUUGGUAAGGUAACGGCUUACCAAGGCAACGAUGCAUAGCCGACCUGAGAGGGUGAUCGGCCACACUGGAACUGAGACACGGUCCAGACUCCUACGGGAGGCAGCAGUAGGGAAUCUUCCGCAAUGGGCGAAAGCCUGACGGAGCAACGCCGCGUGAGUGAUGAAGGUCUUCGGAUCGUAAAACUCUGUUAUUAGGGAAGAACAUAUGUGUAAGUAACUGUGCACAUCUUGACGGUACCUAAUCAGAAAGCCACGGCUAACUGCGUG
rnacentral:rRNA from 1 species